rnacentral:rRNA from 1 species
CCUACGGGAGGCAGCAGUGGGGAAUAUUGGGCAAUGGGCGCAAGCCUGACCCAGCAACGCCGCGUGAAGGAAGAAGGCUUUCGGGUUGUAAACUUCUUUUCUCAGGGACGAAGCAAGUGACGGUACCUGAGGACUAAGCCACGGCUAACUACGUGCCAGCAGCCGCGGUAAUACGUAGGUGGCAAGCGUUAUCCGGAUUUACUGGUGGUAAAGGGCGUGUAGGCGGGGACGCAAGUCAGAUGUGAAAACCACGGGCUCAACCUGUGGCCUGCAUUUGAAACUGUGUUUCUUGAGUACUGGAGAGGCAGAAGGAAUUCCUAGUGUAGCGGUGAAAUGCGUAGAUAUUAGGAGGAACACCAGUGGCGAAGGCGGUCUGCUGGACAGCAACUGACGCUGAGGCGCGAAAGCGUGGGGAGCAAACAGGAUUAGAUACCCUUGUAGUC